UACGUAGGGUGCAAGCGUUAAUCGGAAUUACUGGGCGUAAAGCGUGCGCAGGCGGUGAUGUAAGACAGAUGUGAAAUCCCCGGGCUCAACCUGGGAACUGCAUUUGUGACUGCAUCGCUGGAGUACGGCAGAGGGGGAUGGAAUUCCGCGUGUAGCAGUGAAAUGCGUAGAUAUGCGGAGGAACACCGAUGGCGAAGGCGGCAUCCUGGACCGGCAUUGACGCUGAGGCGCGAAAGCCAGGGGAGCAAACGGG
rnacentral:rRNA from 1 species